AGCAGCCGCGGUAAUUCCAGCUCCAAUAGCGUAUAUUAAAGUUGCUGCAGUUAAAAAGCUCGUAGUUGAAUUUCGGGACCAUCAUGUCGGUCGUGCCUAGGUACGUACUGGCAUUGUUGGUUUCUACCUUCUGACGAACCAUGAUGUCAUUUAUUUGGUGUCGUGGGAAAUCAGGACUGUUACUUUGAAAGAAUUAGAGUGUUUAAAGCAGGCCCACGCUUGAAUACAUUAGCAUGGAAUAAUGAAAUAGGACGUUUGAUUCUAUUUUGUUGGUUUCUAGGAUCGACGUAAUGAUUAAUAGGGAUAGUUGGGGGCAUUAGUAUUCAAUUGUCAGAGGUGAAAUUCUUGGAUUUAUUGAAGACUAACUACUGCGAAGGCAUUUGCCAAGGAUGUUUUCAUUAAUCAAGAACGAAAGUUAGGGGAUCGAAGACGAUCAGAUACCGUCGUAGUCUUAACCAUAAAACUAUGCCGACUAGGGAUCGGAUGAUGUUAAUUUUAAUGACUCAUUC
rnacentral:rRNA from 1 species